rnacentral:misc_RNA from 1 species
GAUGAAGAACGCAGCGAAAUGCGAUACGUAAUGUGAAUUGCAAAUUCAGUGAAUCAUCGAGUCUUUGAACGCACAUUGCGCCCCCUGGUAUUCCGGGGGGCAUGCCUGUCCGAGCGUCAUUGCUGCCCUCAAGCACGGCUUGUGUGUUGGGCCCCGUCCUCCGAUCCCGGGGGACGGGCCCGAAAGGCAGCGGCGGCACCGCGUCCGGUCCUCGAGCGUAUGGGGCUUUGUCACCCGCUCUGUAGGCCCGGCCGGCGCUUGCCGAUCAACCCAAAUUUUUCUCCAGGUUGACCUCGGAUCAGGUAGGGAUACCCGCUGAACUUAAGCAUAUCAAUAAGCGGAGGA